CGGGGGGAGCAAGCGUUGUUCGGAUUUACUGGGCGUAAAGGGCGCGUAGGCGGCCACCGCAAGUCGACUGUGAAAUCUCCGGGCUUAACCCGGAAAGGUCAGCCGAUACUGCGGGGCUAGAGUGCAGAAGGGGCAACUGGAAUUCUCGGUGUAGCGGUGAAAUGCGUAGAUAUCGAGAGGAACACCUGCGGCGAAGGCGGGUUGCUGGGCUGACACUGACGCUGAGGCGCGAAAGCUAGGGGAGCGAACGGGAUUAGAUACCCCGGUAGUCCUAGCCGUUAAACGAUGAAUGCUUGGUGUCUGGGGUUUUAUAGUCCCCGGGUGCCGUCGCUAACGCUUUAAGCAUUCCGCCUGGGGAUACGGUCGCAAGACUG
rnacentral:rRNA from 1 species